GUCCUACCUAAACACAUUCAAAGCUGGAGGUCAGAAAGUAUCCUUGGAAAGCUGGCACAGAUGAGUAAGAAGACAAGUGAGAAGAAAGGAGGUGAACUCAGGACAGAUUGGAUUUCUCCCCAGGAGAUAUGGAGUCAGACGGGUGAUGAGCUAAAAGGCAAGUUGCUAAGCUACUUGCCCUCCUACUUGUUGUCUCUGUCACCUUCAAGGUUGUUUAUUACCAUGCAGCACUACGGGGAGAUUGAAGAAGCGAAGAUGGCUCUCUGUCUUUUGACCAGGAAAAGGAAAGAUACUUUAUUUUAUUGUAAUAGAAAUUGUCAGUUUUCCUGGCUCAUCUUUUCAAUUUGCGUUUUAUUUUAUUGUUAAUAUAAUUAUCUGAUUGCCAUGUUGCUGAACAUUGUCAUAGUCUGUUGUGGUCCAUCCACUAUCCUUGUACUGAGAGAAGAAACUCUGUUGUAACACACCAUGAACCCUUCAUAAUACGAUUAUAAUCACUCAGUCAUCAAAUAUUUUUCUGCUCAUAUACCUCACUCAUAAAAUAUUUUCUGAUUACAAUUUUUUUUAAUAAGGUAUUUCUAUCUAACUUGGACUUACUUUAGGGUGCAUGUAAUGCGUACACAAGAAAUUGUGACAGUUCUUUUAACGUUACUUAUACACAGAGACAGGUUGCCAGAUCUUCAAGUUCUUGUUAUUAACA